AAGGAUCAUUAAUGAAAUUAUAAUCCGGCGAAGGGAAAAGGCGGGGAGUUGUAGCUGGCCCCAGGGCAUGUGUACGCUCUCUUCCGGACUUUCGCCGUAUGGGCGCGGGGCGACCGCGUCUUCAUAUACCUCUUCGUGUAGAAAGUCUUUGAAUGUUAUCAUCAUCAUCGAGUCGCGACUUCUAGGAGACGCGAUUCUUUGAGACAAAAGUUAUUACAACUUUCAGCAACGGAUCUCUUGGCUCUCGCAUCGAUGAAGAACGCAGCGAAUCGCGAUAUGUAAUGUGAAUUGCAGAUCUACAGUGAAUCAUCGAAUCUUUGAACGCACCUUGCGCUCCUCGGUGUUCCGAGGAGCAUGCCUGUUUGAGUGUCAGUAAAUUCUCAACCCCUCUCGAUUUGCUUCGACAGGGUGCUUGGAUGUUGGGGGCUGCCGGAGACACUGGACUCGUCCAGGACUCGGGCUCCUCUUAAAUGAAUCGGCUUGCGGUCGACUUUCGACUUUGCAUGACAAGGCCUUUGGCGUGAUAAUGAUCGCCGUUCGCCGAAGUGCAAGACAGAACGGUCCCGUGCCUCUAAUGCGUCGACGCCUCUCGGGGCCGUCUUCCUCAUUGACGUUUGACCUCAAAUCAGGUAGGACUACCCGCUGAACUUAAGCAUAUCAAUAAGCGGAGGA
rnacentral:rRNA from 1 species